rnacentral:tRNA from 1 species
GUCCAGGGAUGGGAAUCGAACCCACAGUGUUCCGCUUACCAGACAGAUACCAUGUCCACUAGGCUACCCUGGA